rnacentral:tRNA from 1 species
UCCCUGGUGGUCCAGUGGCUAGGACUCUGUGUUUUCACUGUGGGGGUCUGGGUUCAAUCCCUGGUUAGGGAA